UCGUGGGAUUGGUAUUUUGUUAUUUGGGCUCAUAAAAUAAACAAAAACUAAGCUGACAUUGACCUUCGUCUUCCUCAACAUUGGCGACCAAAUGAUUUCUAAGAUUCGAGCCGAUUAGGUCAACCGACAAUGGUGUUUUUGGAAGGUUGUGAGAGACAAAUCUUCUUUAGGAAUCUCUGGGUCGAGCUCCGUUCGUGUCGGUUCAUCUGCGAUUCAUCUCCUCUGAAACGUUACGGGAUGCAUGCUUCUUAUCUCUUUUAGAGACGGUGGAUCUCCACCUAUAAAAGUUUGUUGCAGGCUUAUCUUUCUCGAGUACAGAAGAGACAUUAACCCUAGCAUUUUCUCAAUAUGGCCGAGUACUUGCAGUGGAUGGUGUAAUGGAUGAUGUCAAAUGAAGGCAAGGGUUUGCUUAUGUCACAUUCUCUUCUAAAGAAGAAGCUGUGAAAGCUUUAUUAGAACUAAACGGAAAGGUGGGGAAUGUUUAUGAUGAAUAACUGUGAAUUUCCUGGUGGAGUACUGAAUCAUCAACUAUCCAAGUUGGUUAUGUUGCGUAAUGAAUUUUGUUAUUUUGAUCACAGUUGGUAGACGGGCGGGUUGUGAUCCGUGACACAACAAAAGUUGUAAAACAGAAUCGACCCUUCCAUAUCAAAGACCUCAACAAAAUUCUCGCUCGAUCUGUGGCCGUUUUUCUUGGUUUUGGAUCCAUCGGGAUGGGUUGAUUAGUCAUUGGUCAAGAAUGGGUGUGCUCUAAAAAGAAACAGAGGAAGCUAAAGAGUAGCCCAUACUGCUCCAAACACAGACCUAACUCUCACGGCUUGCUCUCUCCUGAUCCUUGGAGAUGAGGUUCAAUGCGGAAGGACGAGAAACCCACCAUGAUCUCUCAUGAGAUUCCAAUGUCCCGCAAUAGCUCAUACAGACAAGCUUUUCUAAAUGGUGACUUUUUUACUUACCAAAGUCUAAAAGAUUAUUGGCUUGAUGAUGGAAGUAAUAUGUGAGAGCAAAUCAUUAUGAAAAGUUGUCAACCUUUUCUCUGUUGUUUGAUCGUGAGUACCACUGUACAAGGAUCUAUGGUGUGUAUUAGAAUAUGCUUCUUUGUUUAGAUUCUUUCAUAUCCUGACAUGUGUGUAUGGGUCUUGAAAAUUACAAAAUAGCAUUCAAAUCUA